GGGGGGGGGGGGCGGGGUGCGGAGGGGGGGCGGGUCGGGCGGAGGGGCCCUGCUGUUGUGGGGUGCUCGAGUGGCGAACGGGUGAGUAACACGUGGGUAACCUGCCCUUGACUUUGGGAUAACUUCAGGAAACUGGGGCUAAUACCGGAUAGGCGCUCCUGCUGCAUGGUGGGGGUUGGAAAGUUUCGGCGGUUGGGGAUGGACUCGCGGCUUAUCAGCUUGUUGGUGGGGUAGUGGCUUACCAAGGCUUUGACGGGUAGCCGGCCUGAGAGGGUGACCGGCCACAUUGGGACUGAGAUACGGCCCAGACUCCUACGGGAGGCAGCAGUGGGGAAUAUUGCACAAUGGGCGGAAGCCUGAUGCAGCAACGCCGCGUGCGGGAUGACGGCCUUCGGGUUGUAAACCGCUUUCGCCUGUGACGAAGCGUGAGUGACGGUAAUGGGUAAAGAAGCACCGGCUAACUACGUG
rnacentral:rRNA from 1 species